rnacentral:lncRNA from 1 species
GCUGCCUUUCUGAAGACUGGAUCCAUUGAACUCAAGGGAAGUAAUCCCAGCUGACUUGGACGACUCUAAACCAGGUGACAGCAUGCUCACUGGACUAGUCAAAGGUAUUAUCCCUGUCUACUAAGUCAAUAGCUUUGGUUCUAAUAAUACUUCAAGCUUUGAUUUCUACCCUUCAGUGGAAAGAAGGUGGCUUAAAGUUGCUAUAGAUGGAAAGUAAAGAUAUUGUCUGAAUGUGCUUAAAGCAGAAAGGCAGGAGGCUCAUCCUCGUUCUGGGAGGAAACUGUGCAUUAAAUCCAUAGCUAGUUAUGAUAUUUUUGAAGUGCCAGCUGUCAGUACAGUGCCAACAGAGCAAUCUGCUCAGUGCUGGCAAGUUUUCUCCCCUCUGUGCCAGUUAUGAAUGCCAUUGACUAGCUAGAAAGGGAAGCCUGCCUACUCUUGUGUUGGAGGCCUGAGAGGUGUGAUGAGUGGAGUUGUGCAAUGAGUGAAAGAGGGGAUAACGAGAGAGGAAAUGGAGGAAUUCCUCAGGGUGCCAUCUGUGAUGUAGAUUACGAGAGAGGCACAGAGGAAGUAGAUUUCUUUUGUGGAUUAAUUUUGCCAAACUGCAAUCAGUGAGCUAACAAGCAUUCUGCUUUUUAGGAUCAUAAAGAGCAAUGCAACAGCUAACAUGUAUUAUCAGCAGUGUGCUUACAAAUAAGCACUGGAGAAAAAUAAUGAAAUGUAUACUUUAAGGUUUCUAGCUACCAACAUAAAGGGCAGAAGGGUGGGGAGGUGACUUGCAUCAGGCACAGCUUUCUUUGCUUUCUCAUCAGCUUUUCAGUGCUUGCUGAUGACUUCCUCAUGCUCAUUAAUAGUGUGCUGAAGGUCAGAUUCUAGCUUUCGUUUAAUAGCAAGCAGGCUAUUUCUAGAGGGCAGGAAGAAGUCCUGGAGACCCAGAAUAUGUUAACUGCUCAGCUCCCAAAGUGGUACCUGCUCGCACCCUCUCCAGUUUACCUUGAGAUGCUGUUGCAGUUUAUUCAGUGUUUUGACGAGCUCACUGUUAUUCCUGUUGGCACGAUCCACUUGGAUUUCCAUUUUGUUCUGGUCAGUUUCCAUCUCCUUGAGCCUAAGUGCUUCAGCAUGCCCUGUCACUUCAGUCUCCAGACUCACCUGCAGAGACGGGAUUGCAUGCUGGUGAUUUUCUGCGGAGUCCAGUGAAGCAUAUGGUGCAACAUUCUGUUAUGUUGAGUCUAAUCCAGCCUUAGUAUCACGUUAUUGCCCACCGACUAACAAAAACACAGGAGCUUUCCAAACCUGUUCAUAACUGUGGUACCAGAAUUUUGAACCAAGCCAUUUAUGAACGCAUUUUAAAUAGAAGAUCGUGACAGCUUUCAAAUGGCAGCUUUAACCUGAAGCAGUUCAAGCUGAAUGCAAAUCAGUUUACUUUAUUCAGCCUGUAAGGAAAUAUGCUACAGAAGGAUGAAUAAAUACCCUUUGUAGGGUUAUACA